rnacentral:snRNA from 1 species
GUGCUCACUUUGGCGGCACGUAUACUGAAAUUGGAAUGAUACAGAGAACAUUAGCAUGGCCCCUGUGCAAGGAAGACAUGCAAAUUUGUGAAGCAUUCCAUUAAAAA